CCUACGGGAGGCAGCAGUAGGGAAUCUUCCACAAUGGGCGAAAGCCUGAUGGAGCAACGCCGCGUGGGUGAAGAAGGUCUUCGGAUCGUAAAACCCUGUUGUUAGAGAAGAAAGUGCGUGAGAGUAACUGUUCACGUUUCGACGGUAUCGAACCAGAAAGCCACGGCUUACUACGUGCUAGCAGCCGCGGUAAUACGUAGGUGGCAAGCUUUCUCCGGCUUUAUUGGGCGUAAAGGGAACGCAGGCGGUCUUUUAAGUCUGAUGUGAAAGCCUUCGGCUUAACCGGAGUAGUGCAUUGGAAACUGGGAGACUUGAGUGCAGAAGAGGAGAGUGGAACUCCAUGUGUAGCGGUGAAAUGCGUAGAUAUAUGGAAGAACCCCAGUGGCGAAAGCGGCUCUCUAGUCUGUAACUGACGCUGAGGUUCGAAAGCGUGGGUAGCAAACAGGAUUAGAUACCCCUGUAGUC
rnacentral:rRNA from 1 species